GAGUUUGAUCCUGGCUCAGAACGAACGCUGGCGGCAUGCCUAACACAUGCAAGUCGAACGAACUCUUCGGAGUUAGUGGCGCACGGGUGCGUAACGCGUGGGAAUCUGCCCUUGGGUACGGGAAUAGCUCAGAGAAAUUUGUGCUAAUACCGUAUAAUGACUUCGGUCCAAAGAUUUAUCGCCCAAGGAUGAGCCCGCGUAAGAUUAGCUAGUUGGUGGGUAAAGGGACCGUACCAACGGCUACGAUCUUUAGUCUGGUCUGAGAGGAUGAUCAGCCACACUGGGACUGAGACACGGCCCACGACUCCUACGGGAGGCGAGCAGU
rnacentral:rRNA from 1 species